rnacentral:rRNA from 1 species
UACAGAGGGUGCGAGCGUUAAUCGGAAUUACUGGGCGUAAAGCGUGCGUAGACGGUUGGAUAAGUCGGAUGUGAAAUCCCAUGGCUCAACCAUGGAAGUGCACCCGAAACUGCGUAGCUAGAGUCUCGGAGAGGAAGGCGGAAUGCUUGGUGUAGAGGUGAAAUUCGUAGAUAUCAAGCGGAACACCGGUGGCGAAGGCGGCCUUCUGGACGAUGACUGACGCUGAGACGCGAAAGCGUGGGGAGCAAACAGG